GGGAUCCGGUGCAUUAGUGCUGGU
rnacentral:siRNA from 1 species